ACUAGUGUGGUUUAGUGGUUUGAGCGUUGGACUAUGACUCUGGAGACCAGGGUUCGAUUUCCCCCUUUGGCC